CAAGGAAUUUUCCGCAAUGGGCGCAAGCCUGACGGAGCAACGCCGCGUGCCGGAAGACGGCCUUCGGGUUGUAAACGGCUUUUGUCGGGGAAGAGAUGGACGGUACCCGACGAAUAAGCCCCGGCUAACUCCGUGCCAGCAGCCGCGGUAAGACGGAGGGGGCAAGCGUUGUCCGGACUCACGGGGCGUAAAGGGUGCGUAGGCGGUCCAGAGCGUCGACACUGAAAACGCACGGCUCAACCGAGCGGGGCGUGUCGAUACGACUGAACUCGAGGCAAGGAGAGGUACGCGGAAUUCCGGGUGUAGUGGUGAAAUGCGUAGAUAUCCGGAGGAACGCCGGUGGCGCAAGCGGCGUACUGGCCUUGACCUGACGCUGAGGCACGAAAGCGUGGGGAGCGAACC
rnacentral:rRNA from 1 species